rnacentral:rRNA from 1 species
UAAUACGUAGGGGGCGAGCGUUGUCCGGAUUUAUUGGGCGUAAAGCGCGCGUAGGCGGCUGCCCACGUCGGAUGUGAAAGCUCAGGGCUUAACCCUGAGAGGCCAUUCGAUACGGGGCAGCUAGAGGCAGCUAGGGGAGAGUGGAAUUCCUGGUGUAGCGGUGAAAUGCGCAGAUAUCAGGAGGAACACCGGUGGCGAAGGCGGCUCUCUGGGGCUGUCCUGACGCUGAGGCGCGAAAGCUGGGGGAGCGAACAGGAUUAGAUACCCUGGUAGUCCCAGCCGUAAACGUUGAGUGCUAGGUGUGGGGAGGCCUUCAACCCUUUCUGUGCCGCAGCUAACGCAUUAAGCACUCCGCCUGGGGAGUACGGCCGCAAGGCUA